rnacentral:rRNA from 1 species
UUGCUCUUCAACGAGGAAUGCCUAGUAAGCGCAAGUCAUCAGCUUGCGUUGAUUACGUCCCUGCCCUUUGUACACACCGCCCGUCGCUACUAUCGAUUGAAUGGCUCAGUGAGGCCUUGGGAUUGGCCAGGGGAGAUGGGCGACCAUCACCCCAGGCCGAAAACUUGGUCAAACUUGGUCAUUUAGAGGAAGUAAAAGUCGUAACAAGGUUUCCGUAGGUGAACCUGCGGAAGGAUCAUUACCGAGUUAGGGUUGCUCCGCAGCCCGACCUCCCAACCCUUUGUCUAACUUACCUUGUCGUUGCUUCGGCGGACCGGUUGACCAACUGGUCUUGACCGCCGGGGGGUUCGUCCCCUGGAGAGCGUCCGCCGACGGCCCAACCACAAACUCUUGUACCAAACCAUGUCGUCUGAAUUACUUGAUUAAAAUCAAAAAACAAAACUUUCAACAACGGAUCUCUUGGUUCUGGCAUCGAUGAAGAACGCAGCGAAAUGCGAUAAGUAAUGCGAAUUGCAGAAUUUCCGUGAGUCAUCGAAUCUUUGAACGCACAUUGCGCCCACUGGUAUUCCGGUGGGCAUGCCUGUUCGAGCGUCAUUAUCCUCCCUCAAACCCCGUGUUUGGUGUUGGGCCCGCGUUCCUGCGAAGGAACUGGCCUCAAAGACAAUGACGGCGUCCGCGGGACCCUCGGUGCAACGAGCUUUCAGGAGCACGCGCCGAGUUUCAAGGUCCCCCCGGGCCGGUCUAACCCUUUUUUACUUCUAAGGUUGACCUCGGAUCAGGUAGGAAUACCCGCUGAACUUAAGCAUAUCAAUAAGCGGAGGA